AUUGAACGCUGGCGGCAGGCCUAACACAUGCAAGUCGAACGAGUGGCGGACGGGUGAGUAAUGUCUGGGAAACUGCCCGAUGGAGGGGGCUAACUACUGGAAACGGUAGCUAAUACCGCAUACCCUCGGAUGUGCCCAGAUGGGAUUCGCUAGUAGGUGGGGUCAAGGCUCACCUAGGCGACGAUCCCUAUCUGGUCUGAGCGGAUGACCAGCCACACUUGAUCUGAGACACGGUCCAGACUCCUACGGGAGGCAGCAGUGGGGAAUAUUGCACAAUGGGCUCAAGCCUGAUGCAGCCAUGCCGCGUGUAUGAAGAAGGCCUUCGGGUUGUAAAGUACUUUCAUCGGGGAGGCGUUACCCGCAGAAGAAGCACCGGCUAACUCCGUGCCAGCCGCCGCGGUAAUUC
rnacentral:rRNA from 1 species